rnacentral:pre_miRNA from 1 species
GACAUGAAGAGGAAGAAAAUAAGAUACAAGAGUAGUGGGCAUGGGAACAUGGUGGAAGGCUAAAGCCCUCGUUCUUCGUUUAACACUUGAGGAGGCUUUGGUUUGAAUUUUUUGCCAUGCCUUCCAUGCCUAUUGUUAUUUGAUGCUCAUACCUCUUCCUUUUGGAU